rnacentral:rRNA from 1 species
GCAAUCUAUACUGUGAAACUGCGAAUGGCUCAUUAAAUCAGUUAUCGUUUAUUUGAUAUGUACCUUACUACAUGGAUAACCGUGGUAAUUCUAGAGCUAAUACAUGCGAAAAGCCCCGACUUCGGGAGGGGCGUAUUUAUUAGAUAAAAAACCAAUGCCCUUCGGGGCUCCUUGGUGAUUCAGAAUAACUAAACGAAUCGCAUGGCCUUGCGCCGGCGAUGGUUCAUUCAAAUUUCUGCCCUAUCAACUUUCGAUGGUAGGAUAGUGGCCUACCAUGGUAUCAACGGGUAACGGGGAAUUAGGGUUCUAUUCCGGAGAGGGAGCCUGAGAAACGGCUACCACAUCCAAGGAAGGCAGCAGGCGCGCAAAUUACCCAAUCCCGACACGGGGAGGUAGUGACAAUAAAUACUGAUACAGGGCUCUUUUGGGUCUUGUAAUUGGAAUGAGUACAAUUUAAAUCCCUUAACGAGGAACAAUUAGAGGGCAAGUCUGGUGCCAGCAGCCGCGGUAAUUCCAGCUCUAAUAGCGUAUAUUAAAUUUGUUGCAGUUAAAAAGCUCGUAGUUGAAACUUGGGCCUGGCUGGCCGGUCCGCCUCACCGCGUGCACUGGUCCGGCCGGGCCUUUCCUCCUGGCGAACCGCAUGCCCUUCACUGGGUGUGCCGGGGAACCAGGACUUUUACUUUGAAAAAAUUAGAGUGUUCAAAGCAGGCCUUUGCUCGGAUACAUUAGCAUGGAAUAAUAGAAUAGGACGUGCGAUCCUAUUUUGUUGGUUUCUAGGACCGCCGUAAUGAUUAAUAGGGACAGUCGGGGGCAUCAGUAUUCAAUCGUCAGAGGUGAAAUUCUUGGAUCGAUUGAAGACUAACUACUGCGAAAGCAUUUGCCAAGGAUGUUUUCAUUAAUCAGUGAACGAAAGUUAGGGGAUCGAAGACGAUCAGAUACCGUCGUAGUCUUAACCGUAAACUAUGCCGACUAGGGAUCGGGCGAUGUUACUAUUUUGACUCGCUCGGCACCUUAAGAGAAAUCAAAGU